AUGAACGCUAGCGACAGGCUUAACACAUGCAAGUCGAGGGGCAGCACAGGUAGCAAUACCGGGUGGCGACCGGCGCACGGGUGAGUAACGCGUAUGCAACUUACCUAUCAGAGGGGGAUAACCCGGCGAAAGUCGGACUAAUACCGCAUGAAGCAGGGGCCCCGCAUGGGGAUAUUUGCUAAAGAUUCAUCGCUGAUAGAUAGGCAUGCGUUCCAUUAGGCAGUUGGCGGGGUAACGGCCCACCAAACCGACGAUGGAUAGGGGUUCUGAGAGGAAGGUCCCCCACAUUGGUACUGAGACACGGACCAAACUCCUACGGGAGGCAGCAGUGAGGAAUAUUGGUCAAUGGCCGAGAGGCUGAACCAGCCAAGUCGCGUGAGGGAUGAAGGUUCUAUGGAUCGUAAACCUCUUUUAUAAGGGAAUAAAGUGCGGGACGUGUCCCGUUUUGUAUGUACCUUAUGAAUAAGGAUCGGCUAACUCCGUGCCAGCAGCCGCGGUAAUACGGAGGAUCCGAGCGUUAUCCGGAUUUAUUGGGUUUAAAGGGUGCGUAGGCGGCCUUUUAAGUCAGCGGUGAAAGUCUGUGGCUCAACCAUAGAAUUGCCGUUGAAACUGGGGGGCUUGAGUAUGUUUGAGGCAGGCGGAAUGCGUGGUGUAGCGGUGAAAUGCAUAGAUAUCACGCAGAACCCCGAUUGCGAAGGCAGCCUGCCAAGCCAUGACUGACGCUGAUGCACGAAAGCGUGGGGAUCAAACAGGAUUAGAUACCCUGGUAGUCCACGCAGUAAACGAUGAUCACUAGCUGUUUGCGAUACACUGUAAGCGGCACAGCGAAAGCGUUAAGUGAUCCACCUGGGGAGUACGCCGGCAACGGUGAAACUCAAAGGAAUUGACGGGGGCCCGCACAAGCGGAGGAACUUGUGGUUUAAUUCGAUGAUACGCGAGGAACCUUACCCGGGUUUGAACGCAUUCGGACCGAGGUGGAAACACCUUUUCUAGCAAUAGCCGUUUGCGAGGUGCUGCAUGGUUGUCGUCAGCUCGUGCCGUGAGGUGUCGGCUUAAGUGCCAUAACGAGCGCAACCCUUGCCACUAGUUACUAACAGGUAAAGCUGAGGACUCUGGUGGGACUGCCAGCGUAAGCUGCGAGGAAGGCGGGGAUGACGUCAAAUCAGCACGGCCCUUACAUCCGGGGCGACACACGUGUUACAAUGGCGUGGACAAAGGGAGGCCACCUGGUGACAGGGAGCGAAUCCCCAAACCACGUCUCAGUUCGGAUCGGAGUCUGCAACCCGACUCCGUGAAGCUGGAUUCGCUAGUAAUCGCGCAUCAGCCAUGGCGCGGUGAAUACGUUCCCGGGCCUUGUACACACCGCCCGUCAAGCCAUGGGAGCCGGGGGUACCUGAAGUCCGUAACCGAAAGGAUCGGCCUAGGGUAAAACUGGUGACUGGGGCU
rnacentral:rRNA from 1 species